UACAGAGGGGGCAAGCGUUGUUCGGAAUUACUGGGCGUAAAGGGCGCGUAGGCGGGCUGUCAAGUCUGGGGUGAAAUCCCACGGCUCAACCGUGGAACUGCCUUAGAUACUGACGGCCUCGAGGGAGAUAGGGGCGAGCGGAACUGUGAGUGGAGCGGUGAAAUGCGUUGAUAUUCACGGGAACUCCGGUGGCGAAGGCGGCUCGCUGGAUCUUUUCUGACGCUGAGGCGCGAAAGCUAGGGGAGCAAACGGG
rnacentral:rRNA from 1 species